rnacentral:lncRNA from 1 species
CGGUCAAGGUCGCGGUCGGGUCGACGACACGACUAAGGGACUCGUCAGCUCCGACUCAUCUACCGGCCCCGCCACGUCACUCCUCGACUUCCCCUAGUUGCGAGAGUCGCGGGGCCCACGGCAUACGGACUGGUGUACGGUGGAUCCGAUUUGGACGGCCGGGAAGGCUUCCGGCCACGUCAUCGCGCAAUAACAGAGCAAUGAUUGGAAAACGCGGAGCAAAGGAAUAUCGCGGGGCCCACGCGCGG